GAUAAGUCACAGUCUGCAGAAAUAUGGGAAAAGCUAAAUUUUGGAAACAAGGACCAAAAUGUCAAGUUCAGAAAACUCAUGGGCAUUAAGAGUGAGGAUGAAGCUGGCUGUAGUUCUGUUGAUGAAGAGAGUUACAAAACGCUGAAACAACAGGAAGAGGUUUUCAGGAAUCUAGAUGCACAGUAUGAAAUGGCAAGAUCACAGACUCACACACAAAGAGGAAUGGGAUUGGGAUUUACAUCUUCCAUGCGAGGAAUGGAUGCAGUUUGAAAAAAAAAAAAAGUCAGUUUUAAAGUUUGGGACUGUGGAAGGUUCUUGUUCAAAUGUUGGGUCCUUGUUCACCAAAAAGCUAGCAUUCUAGCUUGCAUGGGUGUUGCAUUGACUUUAAUUUAUUAAAAAAUACAAUUUUUUUGUAAAUAUCAGAUCAGUGAUACUGGUGUUAGUGUUGUAAUCAGGUUAUACCCACUUCAUUAAACUUGACAGAGCUAUAGAAGGACAGUAUUUUUUAGUUCUACUUUUCCAACCAAGCAGCAGAUGGGAUAAACUCAUACAUGGAUAUUUCGUGUCCACUGUCUUGUGUACUUUUGUACUUUAACCUUGUACAGUUAUUUCCAAUUCUUGAAACAUGAAAGAAACAUUGUGUAGAUGUUAUUUAGCGUUCUGGGCCAAUAGGCACAUAAUCCAGUGCAAAAAAACCCUGGUUAAUAAUAAAGACAUUUUUUUCUCUAA